ensembl:lncRNA
UGUUUUAUUUAAUUACGACUAUAGGCCUAUGUCACGGAACAAUUGAAGACCGGAAGAAGCUCGCGGAGUAGGGUAACUGCUCUUCCGCUUAGCUUAGCUAAACUGUUUACCAUGGCGGAGGCAGAUCAAUACCUUUGGACCAAGUCUCUCCAACCUACCUAAAUUGUCCUACGACGACGUCCUAAGGAUAGUAAAUCAGCACUUACGUGUCGAAACAUCUAAACUACGCAAAGGAUAUAAGUUAUUCUGGGAGAAGUACAUUUUUAAUUACAUAGACACAUGACAACCACUUCACAGGGGAGAAAAGCGUGCCAACACCUCUGUCGUGCACCAGUGUUCUGCAGACGUGGACCAAGGACACAGGUUUAUGUGUAUACCUCAGGCCUAGCCAAACAUCCUGGGAUUCGCUCCAGGGGAAUCGCCCGGAACCCAUUGACCAACUUGUGGUCAGGAAACCCAAGGUUUGGGUUAGGUGUUUUAUUUGAGCACAUACAUGGACACAUAUCUCCUGAAUGCCAAGUAAAUGGCCGAGGGAUACACACACCCCAUUCCAUUUAUUUAUUUCUGUUAAAUGUAUAUAUGUAAAUAUUUUAAUCAAAGAAUUGGAAACGAACAUUCCUGAACAUUUUUUUUAAGGUAACUGAGCACCUUUAAAACAAGCCUGAAGACUUUUAUGUUUGCAUUAGCUUUCUGCUACAUCUUAAAUACAUUGCACUUUCUAAAAAGCUUUUUUAACUUUGCCUUUAUUUUCUAUUUUAAUACUAAAAUGCCUUUAACUUUCUAUUUUACUCAUUUCUCUGCAUAUGUUUUCUUUUACUUAUCUAUUUUAUUGUAUGACAAUGUUUAUAUGUGAAGCACUUUGAGUCUUCCCUUGUGUAUGAAAAGUGCUAAAUAAAGUUGCCUUGCCUAACACACACAGAACAUUUCAUUUCUUUCUGUUAAAUGUAAAUAUGUAUAUAUGUAAAUUUAAAAAAAAGAACUGGAAACAAACAUUAAAUAAACAUUUGAAAAGGACGGACGGACACAAACACACACACACCAUUUUAAUUUCUUUCUGCUAAAUGUAAACAAAGAACAUUAAUAAACGUUUAAAAAUAGUCAUGUGACGUCAUGUGUGUUUUAAUGUGUAACACUGGGACAUCACCCUUAACAUCUAAAGGACCUUGAUAGUUAGACAUCAAGCAAGAAUUUACCCACAGCUGAUUGACAGAGCCUGAAAGAGUCAGAGGAAUGGUUGUGUCCCAGAUAUGAUAUUCUUUGACCCUUCUGAUGGCCCUCUCCAAGAUUCUAAGUUGGGCGAUACUCACUGGUUAACCUGGCGCCUCUUUUAAAUGGCGGCAUUAUGAGGGUGGCCCCAACUUCA